GAUUAUCUUCAAUAGCUCUAACCUUAAAGUAAAUAACAUUACGCUGAUAUCUUUAGACCGUAGUAAUUCGUAAUCCAGUUCGUCUUGGUAUGUAACUUUUACAGAGUUAUACAUAGAAGAAAGUAUCCUGAAACAAUACCAUGUGUCCGAAACUGUGACUCCUUGGGCGUCAAAAGAUAUUCCUUGUCAAAUGAAAACGUGGCUUCAGUUCCAGCCCUUGUCCUUCGUCGCCACAUCUGCAUUAUUCGUUGCGCUAUUGACGUUGUAUUUCGAGGACCUGUCGUGUUCUUUCUCGAUGUUCGACCUCUUAAAAUUCCAGGAUUUAUGGAAAAUCUACAGAAGACUGUCCCUUCACACACCCUCUACGCGUAGACUCGUCUUCAAAAUGUAGUCGAACUUUUUCUUUGACGACAUCUCUUACUCAUAAACACUUCCAUGCCGACGUCUCUUACCCGCGGACUUCUCCUAUGCCGCCAUCAGACCUCAUUCUGUCAUCGAACGUAGACUCGAAUAACAUAACUUCAGUGAUAUUUUCUUUCGAAAAACAUAUGUACAUACCUUCUUCGACCUUGCCUUUAAUAUUUCACAUGUUAAAAAUCAGUUUUUCUAGUGCUUUUUCGCAAAUAAAAUAAGUUACUUAUUACGUAUAAUGAAUAAGUAUGGUCUAAAGCA